rnacentral:lncRNA from 1 species
CUCCAGGCCUUGCCAUUUGUUUGUUCUGACCAGGAAGAAGUGCACCCCAAAGAGAGAACAGGAGUGGAGACCCCCUGCUAGACUCUGUUCGAUCUUAGGCACCUCUAGGGAGGGCUCAGAGUUGUUUUCAGGCCGGAGCAGGGCUGCUGGUCGUGAGGGGUCCCAGCCGAAAGUUAGCGCUGUGUAUUUGGGAGGCUCCCCCGCGGUCGCCUCCCUCUGCUGAGACUGGGGCAGUUCAGGUGAAGCUUCGCCCACUGCAGGGUCUG